AGCGAACGCUGGCGGCAGGCUUAACACAUGCAAGUCGAGCGGGCACUUCGGUGUCAGCGGCAGACGGGUGAGUAACACGUGGGAACGUACCCUUUGGUUCGGAAUAACGCUGGGAAACUAGCGCUAAUACCGGAUACGCCCUUUUGGGGAAAGGCUUGCUGCCGAAGGAUCGGCCCGCGUCUGAUUAGCUAGUUGGUGGGGUAAUGGCCUACCAAGGCGACGAUCAGUAGCUGGUCUGAGAGGAUGAUCAGCCACACUGGGACUGAGACACGGCCCAGACUCCUACGGGAGGCAGCAGUGGGGAAUAUUGGACAAUGGGCGCAAGCCUGAUCCAGCCAGGCCGCGUGAGUGAUGAAGGCCUUAGGGUUGUAAAGCUCUUUUGUCCGGGACGAUAAUGACGGUACCGGAAGAAUAAGCCCCGGCUAACUUCGUG
rnacentral:rRNA from 1 species